GAACUUAAGGCUUAGUGGUCAUAGAGCUUGGACGGUUUCUAAGAGGCGCGUGUUCAAAUCCCGCUACGUUAA
rnacentral:tRNA from 1 species